GCGCGGGCUUAGUUGGUGAGUGUGUAGCCGGGUUCGAUUCCCGGCCCGCGCA
rnacentral:tRNA from 1 species